rnacentral:rRNA from 1 species
GACGAACGCUGGCGGCGUGCUUAACACAUGCAAGUCGAACGGAAAGGCCCUGCUUUUGUGGGGUGCUCGAGUGGCGAACGGGUGAGUAACACGUGAGUAACCUGCCCUUGACUUUGGGAUAACUUCAGGAAACUGGGGCUAAUACCGGAUAGGUGCUCCUGCUGCAUGGUGUGGGUUGGAAAGUUUCGGCGGUUGGGGAUGGACUCGCGGCUUUUCAGCUUGUUGGUGGGGUAGUGGCUUACCAAGGCCUUGACGGGUAGCCGGCCUGAGAGGGUGACCGGGCACAGUGGGACGGAGAUGCGGACGAGACUCCUAUGGGAGGCAGCAGUGGGGAAUAUGGCACAGUGGGCGGAAGCGUGUUGCAGGAACGCCGCGUGCGUGAUGACGGCCUUCGGGUUGUAAACCGCUUUCGCCUGUGACGAAGCGUGAGUGACGGUAAUGGGUAAAGAAGCACCGGCUAACUACGUG